AGCGGCGGACGGGUGCGUAAUGCCUAGGAAUCUGCCUGGUAGUGGGGGACAACGUUUCGAAAGGAACGCUAAUACCGCAUACGUCCUACGGGAGAAAGCAGGGGACCUUCGGGCCUUGCGCUAUCAGAUGAGCCUAGGUCGGAUUAGCUUGUUGGUGAGGUAAUGGCUCACCAAGGCGACGAUCCGUAACUGGUCUGAGAGGAUGAUCAGUCACACUGGAACUGAGACACGGUCCAGACUCCUACGGGAGGCAGCAGUGGGGAAUAUUGGACAAUGGGCGAAAGCCUGAUCCAGCCAUGCCGCGUGUGUGAAGAAGGUCUUCGGAUUGUAAAGCACUUUAAGUUGGGAGGAAGGGUUGUAGAUUAAUACUCUGCAAUUUUGACGUUACCGACAGAAUAAGCACCGGCUAACUCUGUGCCAGCAGCCGCGGUAAUACAGAGGGUGCAAGCGUUAAUCGGAAUUACUGGGCGUAAAGCGCGCGUAGGUGGUUUGUUAAGUUGGAUGUGAAAGCCCCGGGCUCAACCUGGGAACUGCAUCCAAAACUGGCAAGCUAGAGUACGGUA
rnacentral:rRNA from 1 species